CAGUAGCCGCGGUAAUACGGAGGGGGCUAGCGUUGUUCGGAAUUACUGGGCGUAAAGCGCACGUAGGCGGCUUGGUAAGUUAGAGGUGAAAGCCCGGAGCUCAACUCCGGAAUUGCCUUUAAGACUGCCGAGCUAGCAGGUGAGAGAGGUAAGUGGAAUUCCGAGUGUAGAGGUGAAAUUCGUAGAUAUUCGGAAGAACACCAGUGGCGAAGGCGGCUCACUGGACGCGUAUUGACGCUGAGGUGCGAAAGCGUGGGGAGCAAACAGGAUUAGAUACCCCUGUAGUCCCUGUCUCUUAUAC
rnacentral:rRNA from 1 species